GAUGAACGCUGACAGAAUGCUUAACACAUGCAAGUCUUUGGCGAAUCUGUGCUUGCACAGGCUAGCCAAGGCGGACGGGUGAGUAACGCGUAAAGAACUUGCCCUGCAGACAGGGAUAACAGACGGAAACGACUGAUAACACCUGAUACAGUUGCCGGCACGCAUGUGCCUGGCAAUGAAAAGAGAUGCUGCAGGAGAGCUUUGCGUCCUAUUAGCUUGUUGGUGAGGUGACGGCUCACCAAGGCGAUGAUAGGUAGCCGGCCUGAGAGGGUGAACGGCUACAAGGGGACUGAGAUACGGCCCUUACUCCUACGGGAGGCGGCAGUGGGGAAUAUUGGACAAUGGGGGCAACCCUGAUCCAGCAAUUCUGUGUGCACGAAGAAGGUUUUCGGAGUGUAAAGUGCUUUCAGCAGGGAAGAAGAAAGUGACGGUACCUGCAGAAGAAGCGACGGCUAAAUACGUG
rnacentral:rRNA from 1 species